CUAAAGCUGGAGAGCAUGAUGUCACCAUGUCAGCUGGAGGCAAGAAAGGACAUUGGUUGGAAGGGACCACUGGUGUUGCAGAGCAACAGUCUUGAAGGCUCUUGGAGGAUAUGGCUGAGACCACCCACAGAGGCCUGCUUCAUAUGUGGCAUGCAGCCCGUGAGGGGUGGGGAGACUGCCCUGGGAGUCAGAGUUGGGCACGCACAAGGUGAGUGAUGCCUGCUGCCAUUGGAUGUCAUAGACCUGAGGCAGCACUGUGAACAGAACAUGGAAGGGUGAGAGUGGAUGCAUGGGUCCACACAUGUGACAAUGGGCUUUUGAUAGCCCAGAGUUCUGAACUUAUUCUGUGAAAAAUGUGAGUGAGAGUCACCCUAAGUCAGAACUUCAGCACGAUUUUAGGCGCCCAUAACCUAGGAUCCACAUCCUGGGAUUCGUACUCUGGGAUCCACACCUUGGGAUCUCACCCUGACCAUUGCUUCGUGUGAGAGCUUGAGUAUUCAUGCUGUGCUGUGUGGAUUAUCACCCGAAGAAGCAAGGAUGGAGCUUUCCUGCCUUCGACACCACUGACUUACAAAGGACAGCUUAGAAACUGUGAAGACUCCUGAGAGACUAGAAGGGGCUGGACUUGCUUUUAAUCAGGUUUCAAUGCAGAGACAGGUGUCCUGUCAAUUCCCUUAUUCAGAGACACAUUUGUUGUGGCAUUAAUAAACAAAGUCAGCAUUCCCUGGAGACCAACAAAA